GGGUCGGUGCCCGAGUGGUUAAUGGGGGCGGACUGUAAAUCCGUUGGCAUAGCCUACGUUGGUUCAAAUCCAACCCGGCCUA
rnacentral:tRNA from 1 species